CAGCAGCCACGGUAAUACGGAGGGUGCAAGCGUUAUCCGGAUUUAUUGGGUUUAAAGGGUCCGUAGGCGGACUUAUAAGUCAGUGGUGAAAGCCUGUCGCUUAACGAUAGAACUGCCAUUGAUACUGUAAGUCUUGAGUAUAUUUGAGGUAGCUGGAAUAAGUAGUGUAGCGGUGAAAUGCAUAGAUAUUACUUAGAACACCAAUUGCGAAGGCAGGUUACCAAGAUAUAACUGACGCUGAGGGACGAAAGCGUGGGUAGCGAACAGGAUUAGAUACCCCCGUAGUCCCUGUCUCUUAUAA
rnacentral:rRNA from 1 species